CCUACGGGAGGCAGCAGUAGGGAAUAUUGCUCAAUGGGGGAAACCCUGAAGCAGCAACGCCGCGUGGAGGAUGAAGGUUUUCGGAUUGUAAACUCCUUUUGUUAGAGAAGAUAAUGACGGUAUCUAACGAAUAAGCACCGGCUAACUCCGUGCCAGCAGCCGCGGUAAUACGGAGGGUGCAAGCGUUCGUCGGAAUCACUGGGCGUAAGGGGCGCGUAGGCGGGUUAGCAAGUCAGAUGUGAAAUCCUAUGGCUCAACCAUAGAACUGCAGUUGAAACUGUAAUUCUAGAGUAUGGGAGAGGUAGGUGGAAUUCUUGGUGUAGGGGUAAAAUCCGUAGAGAUCAAGAGGAAUACU
rnacentral:rRNA from 1 species